rnacentral:rRNA from 1 species
CCCUGACUCCUUGAGAGUCCUGAAGGAACGUUGAAGACGACGACGUUGAUAGGCCGGGUGUGUAAGCGCAGCGAUGCGUUGAGCUAACCGGUACUAAUGAACCGUGAGGCUUAACCUUACAACGCCGAAG